CGCAGAUUUUUAAAAAUGCAUUAUUAUUAUUUUUUUCUGUUUCCAGGUUACAGAGGGACCAAACCUUCCUCAAACCCUGCUGAGAGAGCCAAAACAGCCAUUACAAGUGUGAGCACAUUCGAAAUGAAGCUCGCAGAUUUCCCAGAACUGGGUGAUUUCACACCCAGCAGCCCUGCAGGAGCUUCUCUGCACCAGGAACCGUCAGUUUGUGCUGGUGCAGUGAUGCCAGCAGAGCGUCAGACUUCACCAGCACCCCUUUAUAAGAAUGUACCAAAACGAAGAACCAAGUCAGCACAGCAAAUCUCGUCCAGUGGAAAAAGUGUGGGAAAGUGUGACUCAUCAUCAGUUGACCCAGCAGGUUUAGAUCAGGAUCCAGCAGUAUCCAAUCCCAGCGGGUCUUCAGCUCAAUCCUGGGCAAACAUCGCCUCUCAGCCUCCCAGAGUCAUCCAGAAAAUCUUCAAAGCCAACACAUCUUCUCAGGAGGAUUUAUCUGCACAGACAGGAGAGCAGAAAACAGAUAAGAAAAAGAGGAAAAGAAAGAAGAAAUCCAAGACUGCAUCUGACAACACAGAAGAGACACAGGAGGAACAUCUCAUUCAGCAAGAGCCUCCAAAGUUCGAGGAUGAAGAGGAGUUUCCAGAUCUUUCACUUGCAUUUGAAGUCAAAGGACAUUCGAUGUCUCAAAAAGAAGGAUCGUCUCUACAUUCGGAGAUGAAACACAAAGCCACUAAACCCUCUUCUGCCUCAACGGACACUAAGAAAACACAGCAGACGAGUCAGAAGAAGUCAAAAGUUCCAGUACAGCUCGACCUGGGAAACAUGCUGGCGUUUCUUGAGCAGAAGCAACAGUCGCAGAAAUCCAAACAAGACCAGCGACCGGUAACACUGACAGUUGGAGGAGCUCUGCCUGUCGUCCACAAAGAGCCUUCAGUCCAGAAGAAGCAGUGGCAGCAGGAGAAGACCCCGCACAACCCGCUGGACUCCACCUGUCCUUCAGUGAAGAAAGGAAAACAGAGAGAAGUCCCUAAAGCCAAAAAACCAACACCACUCAAACGAGUGAUUCUCCGGGAACGAGAGGAGAGGAAACAGAACCGGCUGCUUGAGGAAAGAGACCCGUCCCGUGUGGCCACAGAAGCGGGAGAAAAGGAGACCAGUGAAAACCCUUCUGAAGCGAGUCUGCCUGAGCAAGAACAUCUUGAGUCAAAUGCUGAUGACAAUGCUGAAGACAUUGGUGUUAAGGAUUCAGAGAUUGAGCAGCCUGCUUCACCUUCUGAUGACAAGUUGGACGACGGCUUGUCAGAGAAUCCAACACUACAAACCGAGAUUCCCAAUUCCAAUCCCAUUUCCAAAGUUCCCAAAAUUCACAGCAGGAAGUUCAGAGACUACUGCAAUCAAGUGCUCAGCAAAGAUGUAGAUGAGUGUGUGAGCAACUUACUGAAGGAGCUGGUGAGGUUUCAAGAUCGUCUCUAUCAGAAAGACCCCAUGAAGGCCAGGAUGAAGCGCAGGCUAGUCAUGGGCCUACGAGAGGUGCUAAAACACCUCAAACUCAAGAAGGUCAAGUGUGUCAUCAUCUCGCCCAACUGUGAACGCAUUCAAUCAAAAGGUGGUCUAGAUGAGGCUCUUCACAAUAUCAUCGACACGUGUCGUGAUCAGAGCGUCCCGUUUGUGUUUGCCUUGUCGAGAAAGGCACUGGGCCGAUGUGUUAAUAAAGCCGUCCCGGUCAGCUUGGUUGGCAUCUUUAACUAUGAUGGCGCACAGGACCACUAUCACAAAAUGAUCGAGUUGUCAGCCGAGGCCAGGAAGUCCUAUGAGGUGAUGAUUGCAAAUCUGGAUGGCGAUUCGCAGGAGGAUCUACAGGAAGAUCAACAGGAGGAAGAGCCGCCGGGAGAAACUUCUGGAACAGAAGAGCCAGAGUACAUUAAAAUCUGGAAGAAAAUGCUGGAGAAAGGUUACAGCCACCCUUUCCUGAAUUUCGAGGACCAGUUUUCAUCCCUUUCCAUCGGUUCAGAGCAGCUUCUGGACGAUGAAGGAAGUUGAUGCAAGUACACAGAUUGAGACAGAGCGUCUGUUUGUUCGUUUGUGACACGGAAGCACAUUCCCACAGUGUUUGCAAGCCGGCAUGAGCCUCUAGCACUUUGAAAAGAUGUGUCAGGAAUAGCUUGAAGUACCAAAAUGUGCCUGUCAAGAGCGUUUUAUUCAUAAACAAAUGUUCCAGUGAUGUGGAAUGGUGUGUUAAAUCAAGAGGCAAUACAGCUGAAAAUAGAGAGCAGCCCUUGACUACAAAUAUUUUCUUAUAAAUAUAUAUCAUGAACUUCGUUUAAUGUUUCCAUAGUCCGAAUGGUGAAUAUUUUUGCAAGAUAGCUGAUAUCCCUCUAUUUCUAAUAAAGGAAGUGAAAUAGUU